CUACCUGCCUCCUCACUCAGCUCUACCUACACUGAAUGUCUGCUUCUCUGAUUGGUGGUUCCCAAAAUGUGGUCCUUGGUCCAGCAGCAUCAGCACCCCCUGAAACUGAUCUUCAUAUGAUUAUACCCUUAUCAUUCAAGCCUCAACUCAAUUUAUUUCCUCACAGAAGCCUUCCCUGAACACUCUAACUAGAGUUACCCUCUGACCUAAGAGACUCGACUUUUCAAGAACACAGAGGAGAAAUAGAUACGAACCCUGUCUUUAAGAAGCUAAACGUUUAAUCUGGUGGCUGAGACAUGUACAAAGACAGACAAUGCUAAAGAAGCGUAUGUGUUGAUAUUUAUUCCUGUUUCUUCGUGAAGCACCUCCUUGGUGCCUUACAUAAAAU
ensembl:lncRNA